UACGUAGGGGGCAAGCGUUGUCCGGAAUGAUUGGGCGUAAAGGGCGCGUAGGCGGCCAACUAAGUCUGGAGUGAAAGUCCUGCUUUUAAGGUGGGAAUUGCUUUGGAAACUGGAUGGCUUGAGUGCAGGAGAGGUAAGCGGAAUUCCCGGUGUAGCGGUGAAAUGCGUAGAGAUCGGGGGGAACACCAGUGGCGAAGGCGGCUUACUGGACUGUAACUGACGCUGAGGCGCGAAAGUGUGGGGAGCAAACAGGAUUAGAUACCCUGGUAGUCCACACUGUAAACGAUGAAUGCUAGGUGUAGGGGGUAUCGACCCCUUCUGUGCCGGAGUAAACACAAUAAGCAUUCCGCCUGGGGAGUACGGCCGCAAGGUUGAA
rnacentral:rRNA from 1 species